GACGAACGCUGGCGGCGUGCUUAACACAUGCAAGUCGAACGGGAAGGCCCUGCUUUUGUGGGGUGCUCGAGUGGCGAACGGGUGAGUAACACGUGAGUAACCUGCCCUUGACUUUGGGAUAACUUCAGGAAACUGGGGCUAAUACCGGAUAGGAGCUCCUGCUGCAUGGUGGGGGUUGGAAAGUUUCGGCGGUUGGGGAUGGACUCGCGGCUUAUCAGCUUGUUGGUGGGGUAGUGGCUUACCAAGGCUUUGACGGGUAGCCGGCCUGAGAGGGUGACCGGCCACAUUGGGACUGAGAUACGGCCCAGACUCCUACGGGAGGCAGCAGUGGGGAAUAUUGCACAAUGGGCGGAAGCCUGAUGCAGCAACGCCGCGUGCGGGAUGACGGCCUUCGGGUUGUAAACCGCUUCCGCCUGUGACGAAGCGUGAGUGACGGUAAUGGGUAAAGAAGCACCGGCUAACUACGUG
rnacentral:rRNA from 1 species